GCCGGGCACCGUGGUGCAUGCCCGUCAUCCCAGUGGCUUGGGAGGCUGAGGCAGGAGGAUUGCGAGUUCAAAGCCAGCCUCAGCCUCUU
rnacentral:sRNA from 1 species